rnacentral:rRNA from 1 species
UACGAAGGUGGCAAGCGUUGUUCGGAUUUACUGGGCGUACAGGGAGCGUAGGCGGUUGGAUAAGCCCUCCGUGAAAUCUCCAGGCUUAACCUGGAAAGUGCAGAGGGGACUGUUCAGCUAGAGGAUGGGAGAGGAGCGCGGAAUUCCGGUGUAGCGGUGAAAUGCGUAGAGAUCGGGAGGAAGGCCGGUGGCGAAGGCGGCGCUCUGGAACAUUUCUAGACGACGUGA